rnacentral:lncRNA from 12 species
GUGAUCCUCGAGACCGGGGAUUGAGUCCCACGUCGGGCUCCCUGCGUGGAGCCUGCUUCUCCCUCUGCCUGUGUCUCUGCCUCUCUCUCUCUGUGUUUCUCAUAAAUAAGUAAAAUAAAAAAAAAUUGUAGCAGUUACUACUAAUUGAAUUAGUCAUCAUGCUAGUGCUUACCAUAUAUUGCUCAUUUCUUUUCUUUUUAAAAAUAUUUAUUUAUUUGAUAGGGAAAGAGAGAGAGAGAGCACAAGCAGGGGGAGCAGCAGAAGGAGAGGGAGAAGCAGGCUCCCUACUGAGCAGGGAACCUGGUGUGGGGCUCAAUCCCAAGACCCUGGGAUCGUGACCUGAGCCAAAUCAGACGCUUAACCAAUUGAGCCACCCAGGCAACACUGCUCAUUUAUUUCUGACAAUAAUCUUGUGAGAUGAGUAUUAUUAGUUCCAGUUUAUAGAUGAUGAAACAGAUGCUAAGAGAGAUUAAGCAAAAUUAUUCAAGAUAGCACAACUAGCAAGCAGCAGAGCAGAGAUUCAGACUCAAGACUCAAUGAAGUCCUAGUGAAGGUCAUGUUCUUCAAAGGGCAGCAGGGGGUGUCUCACUACUUCUCAGAAACCAUAUGAGGUGUCUGAUCACUGAGCAGAGGGCAGUGACAUGUUGUUUCUGCAUGAUACAGAUAGUUCCCCAGGCCCAGACUGAAAGCCCAGGAGCACUGCUGAGUUAUAGGAAUUCAGGAUGGCUAAGUGAGGCCUCCGGUGUUUUCUCCCCUUUCCUCUCUCUCCUCUCAGGUGGUGUAGACUGUUUAGCAGAAGCUCCCAGAGCUUCUAGCUUUGUUCCAUACAUAGCCUUGGCCAAGGAGAAUCCCAGAAAAGCUAAGAGAUGUCAUCUCUUCUACUUUAUUGUAGGCUGGGAAGAAAAGGUCCUAAUACCUCUUGUCACCUGUAAACAGUUAUCUUCAUCAGUAGCAGCACCAGCAACUCCUACUAUAGAUGCAUAA